UUGGGAUGGUCUCCUAGCCAGCACUCGCUGGGUGCAGGGCUGGACCCUAAGGUGCAAGAGGCCAGGACAGACCCGACUGACUGAUUUCUGAGAAAGGGGGAGAGGAGGCAGGCAAGAAGAAUUCGGGACCCAGCAAGGCUGACUGGAUGUGCAACACAGGUGGCAUCUUCCUCCACGAAGCAAGCAAAUGUCUUCCAGCAUGCUCUCCCACCCCCAGAACAGGGGCCUUUCCACUGACAGGAACCUUUACUUCAGGUAUAAACACCCUGUCUCCCCAUUUCAGUACACCCACACUCUCUCCCGACCCAGCCCCGGAGCCAGAGU